rnacentral:rRNA from 1 species
CGUAAGCGCGCGUAGGUGGUUCGUUAAGUUGGAUGUGAAAGCCCCGGCCUUAACCUGGGAACUGCAUUCAAAACUGACGAGCUAGAGUAUCCUAGAGGGUGGUGGAAUUUCCUGUGUAGCGGUGAAAUGCGUAGAUAUAGGAAGGAACACCAGUGGCGAAGGCGACCUCCUGGACUGAUACUGAUACUGAGGUGCGAAAGCGUGAGGAGCGAACAGGAUUAGAUACCCUGGUAGUCCACGCAGUAAACGAUGUCAACUAGCCAUUGGGAGCCUAUACCUCUUAGUGGCGUAACUAACGCAUUAAGUUGACCGCCU